AGUUACUCUUCCAAUCACAUUUGUUGCUAGAGGUAAACCUCUACAUUUGCGUGCAAUCUCCAAUCCAGUAAUCGCAAAUUGUUCUGGUACUUCUUUAUCUUAAAAUGCCAUUGUUCUGGUUAUUGACCAGCAAUCACGUUCUGUCAAUGACCUCAAGCAACAUGGAUGAUCGCAAGUGUUCACAAUAGAUGCCACCUUUUCCUUACGUGUGGUGACGAUAAUGAAAUUUCCAUUUCUGAAGCUAGCUCCCACUAGUGUUUUUUUUUUGAAUUCAUCCCAAUCUUUUGUUUCUUCAUUCCAUAAAUCAUCAAGAACAAGCAAGUAUCUUUUGUCUUUUGAUUUUUUCUGCAAUCUUUUUG
rnacentral:lncRNA from 1 species